AGGUUAAGUUAAUAAGGGCGCACGGUGGAUGCCUUGGCACUAGGAGCCGAUGAAGGACGGUACGAACACCGAUAUGCUUCGGGGAGCUGUAAGUAAGCUGUGAUCCGGAGAUUUCCGAAUGGGGGAACCCCGUAUCCGUAAUGGGAUAUGAUCUUCCGCUGAAUACAUAGGCGGUUGAAGGCAGACCCAGGGAACUGAAACAUCUAAGUACCUGGAGGAAGAGAAAGCAAAUGCGAUUCCCUGAGUAGCGGCGAGCGAAACGGGAACAGCCCAAACCGAAAGGCUUGCCUUUCGGGGUUGUAGGACACUCUAUACGGAGUUACAAAGGAAUCAGUUAGACGAAGCGGUCUGGAAAGGCCCAUCACAGAAGGUAACAAUCCUGUAGUCGAAAGUUGAUUCUCUCCAGAGUGGAUCCUGAGUACGGCGGAACACGUGAAAUUCCGUCGGAAUCCGGGAGGACCAUCUCCCAAGGCUAAAUACUCCCUAGUGACCGAUAGUGAACCAGUACCGUGAGGGAAAGGUGAAAAGCACCCCGGAAGGGGAGUGAAAUAGAUCCUGAAACCGUGUGCCUACAAGUAGUCAGAGCCCGUUAACGGGUGAUGGCGUGCCUUUUGUAGAAUGAACCGGCGAGUUACGAUUUGAUGCAAGGUUAAGUGAAAACGGAGCCGCAGCGAAAGCGAGUCUGAAUAGGGCGAAUGAGUAUCAGGUCGUAGACCCGAAACCAGGUGAUCUACCCAUGUCCAGGGUGAAGGUGAGGUAACACUCACUGGAGGCCCGAACCCACGCACGUUGAAAAGUGCGGGGAUGAGGUGUGGGUAGCGGAGAAAUUCCAAUCGAACCUGGAGAUAGCUGGUUCUCUCCGAAAUAGCUUUAGGGCUAGCCUCAUGUAGUAAGAGUCUUGGAGGUAGAGCACUGUUUGGACUAGGGGCCCCCAACGGGUUACCGAAUUCAGACAAACUCCGAAUGCCAAAGACUUAUCCAUGGGAGUCAGACUGCGAGUGAUAAGAUCCGUAGUCGAAAGGGAAACAGCCCAGACCACCAGCUAAGGUCCCCAAGUAAUCGUUAAGUGGAAAAGGAUGUGGGGUUGCUUAGACAACCAGGAUGUUGGCUUAGAAGCAGCCACCAUUUAAAGAGUGCGUAAUAGCUCACUGGUCGAGUGACCCUGCGCCGAAAAUGUACCGGGGCUAAACGAUUCACCGAAGCUGUGGAUGACAUCUCUUCUGAGAUGUCGUGGUAGGAGAGCGUUCUAAGGGCGGUGAAGUCAGACCGGAAGGACUGGUGGAGCGCUUAGAAGUGAGAAUGCCGGUAUGAGUAGCGAAAGAAGAGUGAGAAUCUCUUCCACCGAAUGCCUAAGGUUUCCUGAGGAAGGCUCGUCCGCUCAGGGUUAGUCGGGACCUAAGCCGAGGCCGAUAGGCGUAGGCGAUGGACAACAGGUUGAUAUUCCUGUACCACCAAAACAUCGUUUGAGUGAUGGGGGGACGCAGGAGGAUAGGAGAGCACGCCGUUGGUUGCGCGUGUUUAAGCAGUGAGGCAGGAAAUGAGGCAAAUCCCGUUUCCGUGUAAGCGAAGCUGUGAUGACGAGGGAAAUAAAGUACCGAAGUCUUUGAUUCCACACUGCCAAGAAAAGC
rnacentral:rRNA from 1 species